rnacentral:rRNA from 1 species
GAUGAACGCUGGCGGCGUGCCUAAUACAUGCAAGUCGAGCGAACAGACGAGGAGCUUGCUCCUCUGACGUUAGCGGCGGACGGGUGAGUAACACGUGGAUAACCUACCUAUAAGACUGGGAUAACUUCGGGAAACCGGAGCUAAUACCGGAUAAUAUAUUGAACCGCAUGGUUCAAUAGUGAAAGACGGUUUUGCUGUCACUUAUAGAUGGAUCCGCGCCGCAUUAGCUAGUUGGUAAGGUAACGGCUUACCAAGGCAACGAUGCGUAGCCGACCUGAGAGGGUGAUCGGCCACACUGGAACUGAGACACGGUCAGACUCCUACGGGAGGCAGCAGUAGGGAAUCUUCCGCAAAGGGCGAAAGCCUGACGGAGCAACGCCGCGUGAGUGAUGAAGGUCUUCGGAUCGUAAAACUCUGUUAUUAGGGAAGAACAAAUGUGUAAGUAACUAUGCACGUCUUGACGGUACCUAAUCAGAAAGCCACGGCUAACUACGUG